AGCCUAUGUUAGACGUUCCCAGCUGGUGCCGGAGCUGGCAGGCCUAAUCCAGCGCAGCCGGGCCCGCAGUGCCCACCCGUCUCAUGAAAAAUGUUCGCUGACCACUGGUCUUACAUGCUGCAUUGUGUCCCCCGAAAUUUUCAUAUGUUGGAGUCUGAAAACCUACCACCACAGAAACUGACAAUAUCUGAAGAUAGAAUCUUUACAAAGAGCACAUGGAUACCACUGCUGUAGCAGAACAGAGCUCCCGUUGGAACCACAGGAAGGUAAGAGGGAGCGAGGGGAGGAAGCAUCCUGCUUUUUGCCGCCACUGCUGCUGCGUCACUGGUGACCACCACUGGCUGAACCCACCCGGAAACCAGCCAACCCAGAAGUCUGGGUGAUUCAGUUCAUCAAGUUUAGCCUCCCAGGCAGGGUGCAGAGCAAGGCAAAGAAGGACGGAAGAUGGAUCCCAGGUCAAAAAAGGAGAAGAAUCAGCACGUACACGAAACAGCAGAGAGCAUGGUGUAAUAAACCCCCUGUACCCAUCACUCAGCUUCAACAAGUACCAACAUUUCCCAUUGUUACUCCAUCUAUAGCUUAUAUCUCGUUUUAUUUAUAUCACUUAUAUCUUAUAUCAUCUAUA